rnacentral:rRNA from 1 species
AUUGAACGCUGGCGGCAGGCCUAACACAUGCAAGUCGAGCGAGCGGCGGACGGGUGAGUAAUGUAUGGGGACUGCCCGAUAGAGGGGGAUAACUACUGGAAACGGUGGCUAAUACCGCAUACUAUCGGAUAACCCAUAUGGGCGUAGCUAGUAGGUGGGGUAAAGGCUCACCUCGGCGACGAUCUCUAGCUGGUCUGAGAGGAUGAACAAGCACACUGGGACAGAGACACGGCCCAGGCUCCUACGGGGGAAGCAGUGGGGAAUAUUGCACAAUGGGCGCAAGCCUGAUGCAGCCAUGCCGCGAGUAUGAAGAAGGCCUUAGGGUUGUAAAGUACUUUCAGCGGGGAGGCUUUACCCGCAGAAGUAGCACCGGCUAACUCCGUGCCAGCAGCCGCGGUAAUAC